AUUGAACGCUGGCGGCAGGCCUAACACAUGCAAGUCGAGCGGAGCGGCGGACGGGUGAGUAAUGCCUAGGAAUCUGCCUGGUAGUGGGUGAUAACGUCCGGAAACGGGCGCUAAUACCGCAUACUAUCAGAUGAGCCUAGGUCGGAUUAACUAGUUGGUGGGGUAAAGGCCUACCAAGGCGACGAUCCGUAACUGGUCUGAGAGGAUGAUCAGUCAAACUGAAACUGAGACACGGUCCAGAAUUUUACAGGAGGCAGAAGUGAGAAAUAUUAGACAAUGUACGAAAGAAUAAUCCAGACAGUCCUCAUGUGUAAAAAAGGUUUUCUGAUUUUAAAGAACUUUAAGUUGGGAGGUGUUACUAAUAGAAUAAGCACCGGCUAAUUUCGUGCCAGCAGUCGCGCUAAUUU
rnacentral:rRNA from 1 species